GGUAACGACGCCGCCUCCACUGCAUGACGUCGCGACUUCCCCGCCGUCGCGCCUGGUAGCCCCGCGACGCCGCCUCACCCGAGCCGUGGUCCGCCGCACGCUGCCAGCCGCCGCACCGGACCACGCCGCUUGGAGCCACCGACGAACGCGUCGCGUCGCCUGCUACGAGCUGGAUGGGCGCGCCGUGACGGGUUCUACGAUCUACGCCUGCUCGAACUGGACGCGUGCAUCACGACGGCGGUCUAGAUCGCCGCCUACUCUGAAGUGGGGGGAACGCAUUCACUGCACCCGGCGCCGGUUGUAUACUGCCCAGGCGGAGCCGCGGACGGCGUAUGUUUGGAGCAGGUAUAAAUCAAUCUUGGGUAUCGUUGUGAAAUUUUCACUCGCGCUAAUCUGCCUGGGCUGUCGAUCUGCAAUUCUGCAUCAAUGCCCAUCCUACGAUCCACCGCCCUCACCGUCGCGCCCUCCUCCGAGCCCGUGGCCUCCCGAUGCUCCGAUCCAUCGACAUCACCUGUCCUGCGUGCUCCUCCGAGGCGACGACUCACCAAAGAAAUGGCUCCAUCCCCUGAGGUACCCGAUCGAUCUACGGGAUCCCAACGGGACCAACACAGAGAGACCUGGACGACUGCUUACUCACCUGCCACUCCCUCUCCAUGCAGUUCACAGAAACCAUGGCAAUGGUUAUUGUCGGUGAUGCUAGCUCUCUCUGUAGUUUUUGCUCUGAGUUGAUUGAUGGGGAUUCAUCUGUCUUCAUAAAAAUUGGCUCUUGAAGAUCUGACCUAUGAAAGGAGGAAAGAAUUCCUGCGACAGCAUCCAUUGCCUCAAAAGAUUCCAAUCGUAUCAUUCCACACCGAGGCAAGCAUCACUCGUGUGAUAAAGAUGCAGAUAGGGCAUCUUGAUAUCCAUGUCUAACGACCUAGCUCAGCAUGUGGAUUCAUUCCAUUACAUUUAUUAGUUCUUAAGCUAGAGUAGAAUAGUUUUUUUUGAUUCGGAGCAUAGUUCUGGUUUGCACUUGUUGCUGGUUGAAUAAAAUAAAAUAAAAUAUUUAUUAUUUAUUAGGUA